rnacentral:rRNA from 1 species
UACGAAGGGGGCUAGCGUUGUUCGGAAUCACUGGGCGUAAAGCGCACGUAGGCGGAUUGUUAAGUCGGGGGUGAAAUCCUGAGGCUCAACCUCAGAACUGCCUUCGAUACUGGCAAUCUCGAGUCCGGAAGAGGUUGGUGGAACAGCUAGUGUAGAGGUGAAAUUCGUAGAUAUUCGCAAGAACACCAGUGGCGAAGGCGGCUCACUGGCCCGGAACUGACGCUGAGACGCGAAAGCGUGGGGAGCAAACAGG